rnacentral:rRNA from 1 species
UACGAAGGGGGCUAGCGUUGCUCGGAAUCACUGGGCGUAAAGCGCACGUAGGCGGCUUUUUAAGUCGAAUGUGAAAUCCCGGGGCUCAACCUCGGAAGUGCAUUCGAAACUGGCGGUCUUGAGUACGGGAGAGGUGGGUGGAAUUCCUGGUGUAGAGGUGAAAUUCGUAGAUAUCAGGAGGAACACCGGUGGCGAAAGCGGCCCACUGGCCCGAUACUGACGCUCAUGUUCGAAAGCGUGGGGAGCAAACAGG